GUCCCUUGCUCUCUCCUGAAGGGCAACACUCUAUUCUUUCCUCCAGCUCUGCUUCCCUCCACCUUGUUUGAUUGCUACCUCCUGUCCUGUUGGGUUUUAUGCCCCACCUCCUAUAGACUGUAAGCUCAUUUGAGCAGGGUCCUCUUCAACCUAUUGUUCCUGUAAGUUUUUGUAACUGUCUCAUUUAUUGUUAAAUAUCCCCCUUUGAUAAUAUUGUAAAGCACUAUGGAAUAUGCUGGCGCUAUUAUAAAUACCAGUAAUAAUAAUAAUAAUAAUAAUAAUAGAUAUCAGUUGCAGUUACUGAUUUAUUUAUGAACACUAGGUAAUGAAG